CGUAGGGUCCAAGCGUUAUCCGGAAUUACUGGGCGUAAAGAGUUGCGUAGGUGGCAUGUAAAGCGAAUAGUGAAAGCGUGUGGCUCAACCAUACAUCCAUUAUUUGAACUCACAAGCUAGAAGACGAGAGAGGUAGAUGGAAUUCCUGAUGUAGGGGUAAUAUCCGUAGAUAUCAGGAGGAACACCGAUGGCGUAGGCAGUCUACUGGCUCGUUCUUGACACUAAUGCACGAAAGCGUGGGGAGCAAACAGGAUUAGAUACCCUGGUAGUCCACGCCGUAAACUAUGGAUGCUAGCUGUAAGCCGUAUCGACCCGGCUUGUAGCGAAGCUAACGCGUUAAGCAUCCCGCCUGUGGAGUACGGUCGCAAGACUA
rnacentral:rRNA from 1 species